rnacentral:rRNA from 1 species
UGGGGAAUUUUGCGCAAUGGGCGAAAGCCUGACGCAGCGACGCCGCGUGGGUGAUGAAGGCCUUCGGGUCGUAAAGCCCUGCCGAGGGGAAAGAAACGGUCUCGACCUAACACGUCUGGUCCCUGACGGUACCCCUAAAGGAAGCACCGGCUAACUCCGUGCCAGCAGCCGCGGUAAUACGGAGGGGGCGAGCGUUAUUCGGAAUUAUUGGGCGUAAAGGGCGCGUAGGCGGCUUGACAAGUCAAAGGUGAAAUCCCUCGGCUCAACUGAGGAACUGCCUUUGAAACUGUCUGGCUUGAGGCCGGGAGGGGGUAGCGGAAUUCCCAGUGUAGCGGUGAAAUGCGUAGAUAUUGGGAGGAACACCAGUGGCGAAGGCGGCUACCUGGACCGGUUCUGACGCUGAUGCGCGAAAGCGUGGGUAGCAA